AGUGAACGCUGGCGGUAGGCCUAACACAUGCAAGUCGAACGGCAGCACAGUAAGAGCUUGCUCUUACGGGUGGCGAGUGGCGGACGGGUGAGGAAUACAUCGGAAUCUACUUUUUCGUGGGGGAUAACGUAGGGAAACUUACGCUAAUACCGCAUACGACCUACGGGUGAAAGCAGGGGAUCUUCGGACCUUGCGCGAUUGAAUGAGCCGAUGUCGGAUUAGCUAGUUGGCGGGGUAAAGGCCCACCAAGGCGACGAUCCGUAGCUGGUCUGAGAGGAUGAUCAGCCACACUGGAACUGAGACAGAGUCCAGACUCCUACGGGAGGCAGCAGUGGGGAAUAUUGGACAAUGGGCGCAAGCCUGAUCCAGCCAUACCGCGUGGGUGAAGAAGGCCUUCGGGUUGUAAAGCCCUUUUGUUGGGAAAGAAAAGCAGCAGGUUAAUACCCCGCUGUUCUGACGGUACCCAAAGAAUAAGCACCGGCUAACUUCGUG
rnacentral:rRNA from 1 species